UAUAUUGCACCGGGGAGCUGGAUUAGCUGGCUGAGAGGGAAUGAAGCAUCGUUCCGACCCGUAUACCUGAACCGGAUAAUGCCGGCGUAGGAAGGAAAGCUACCUUUUUC
rnacentral:ncRNA from 2 species